rnacentral:rRNA from 1 species
AUUGAACGCUGGCGGCAUGCCUUACACAUGCAAGUCGAACGGCAGCAUGGGUGCUUGCACCUGAUGGCGAGUGGCGAACGGGUGAGUAAUGCAUCGGAACGUACCCGGAAGUGGGGGAUAACGUAGCGAAAGUUACGCUAGUACCGCAUAUUCUGUGAGCAGGAAAGCGGGGGAUCGCAAGACCUCGCGCUUCCGGAGCGGCCGAUGUCGGAUUAGCUAGUUGGCGGGGUAAAGGCCCACCAAGGCAACGAUCCGUAGCGGGUCUGAGAGGCUGCUCCGCCACACUGUGACUGAGACACGGCCCAGACUCCUACGGGAGGCAGCAGUGGGGAAUUUUGGACAAUGCGGGCAACCCUGAUCCAGCCAUGCCGCGUGAGUGAAGAAGGCCUUCUGGUUGUAAAGCUCUUUCGGCCGGGAAGAAAUCGCACAGGUUAAUACCUUGUGUGGAUGACGGUACCGGAAUAAGAAGCACCGGCUAACUACGUGCCAGCCGCCGCGGUAAUAC